GGUAGGUUGGCCGAGUGGUUAAGGCGGUGGACUUAAGAUCCACUGGAGGCAGUCUCCGCGUGGGUUCGAACCCCACAUCUACCA
rfam:Opisthorchis viverrini opera_v5_142.18, whole genome shotgun sequence.